rnacentral:hammerhead_ribozyme from 1 species
AUCUAAAUAACGAGUCCAAAAUAGAACGAAACGCGCAUCCUGGAU